UAAGCACAAGCACAUCGAAUAAUUUUGAAUAGAGGAAAGGAGCUAGAAGCAUUGAUAACAGCAGGAUCUUCUUCGAUUCAAGAUCGGUGAAAACCAAAGUCCAAAUCGCAGUGAUUUUGAUCGUAAGAAAUGAUAACAGAUUAUCGGAAAUGAUGCAGCGUUAGCUAUACUGAAAGAAUGCUUUGCUCCGGUAGGAGAAUUUCAAGAGUUGUCGUGUAAAAUGUCCUCAAGUAUCGAAUAAUCGAUUCAAAAAGCAGACAGAAUGCUCGAUCUCGAUCAACGUUCGAAACAAUUAUUAUCAUGAAGCAUUGAAGCAAAUUCAAUCGUAGUGGUGAAGGAUUUACCUACACCAGCGCCGAUCUAAUGACCGAAUCAGUAGAUUUCUUCUGUCAAGAAUCGGGUUACACUUUCGAGUCCCAUUGCGUUGGUAAUGGUUACAGUUGCAGAGUGCAGAGUAUUCGACGAUGAAAUCUUUGGAUUAUUGUUAUUUUAAAAAUGAUGAUUGGUUUUCUAUAUCUUCCUGUUGAGAAAGUCAAUUUAGUCGAAGCCUUUACGUACGUGUUUGACUGACAGACUGAAACGUUUGUGUAUUUGUCGAUGUCGAUGUACCUAGCCUUAAUUCGGUUAACUAAAGAUACAAACAAUGAAUUUCUAUUACCUGCAAAAGAUGGCUGAAGUCACAAUUUGAAGAACCGCCAUAACUGUGAAUGCUUGCUGUACUCAAAAUGUUCGCCGAUCAUGAAGGUUCAGAAAUCUUUGUACCUAAAAUACUGUACUAAUGACCUUGAUUAUCAGACCAUCCCUCAACAAAUCAAGAAUGCAGAUUCUGUACGAGUAUAAGAGCUUAUCAACGCUGAGCUGGCUAGUAAUUAUACUGAUUAAACCAGGAAUGAAACGGUGCGGUUGAUAAUCAGCGAAUUAUCACUCAUCUCGAGCUCGACCGGCCAGCUACAAAGCACGAAUGUUAUGGCUCAAAGUGAAAUCGACAUUCGCAGCUAUAAUUUUAUUACGUUAUACGAAGCGAUAAUUUACAACCGUUUAAAUCUGUUCCCGUAUCAAAUUCAUCGACGUUCGCUUACUUAUUUACAAAAUGAAGGCAUCAGGUAUAAUUCAACAAGAUGGCGGAGACUUCGAAGCUGCGAAUUUACGUUGAUCGAUAUACGUAAAAAAAUCUGGAAGGUACAGAGCUCGUCCCUAUUUUUCCGAGAAUAUCACAAUUAUCAUACCUCGAGUACGCCGACCAGUAUUCGAAGUCCGAGGAAUAAAUAGAAGUGUAUUCGGAGGCCGAGUGGAGUGAGGAGAAGAGCUCCUGCCACCAUCAUCAUCGUUACCCCCAUGAUCGUUGCACCUCCGAAUUUUUGGGAUAGAACUCCACCGAUUGGGCUGAACGAACAUCCAUACCAAAACAUACUUUGAACUGCACCGAUAGUUAUCGUGUCCCAUUGAUAUACUGUUGGCUUGAAUAAGAGUAAUUGAAUUAAGGUUUACUCGUAUAUGAUUAUAGGUGUACAAUUGUACAUAAAGUUGUAGGGUUUUAAACGAAAAAAAAAACAAUCUUUUUUAUUCGAACUUUCGAAUUACCCCCCCCCCCCCCCCCCGGCCUCUCCCUGUCGGUUGUCACCCAUCCUUAGCUUCAUAAAUAAAUACGAUCGUUCAUCUUAAUGCAUAUGAAAUAAUUUUUGGUACCUCGAAUAACAAUUUUAGAAAUGUUGAGUCGUUUGUUGAUGACUGAUUUGUAUGAUCGUUUUUCGAUGUCAUUUCAACUGCAGCUAUAUGGAUCACUUGGCUACCCAUUGCGAUCAUAACGUGACCGAAAAAUAAUAACACCGAUACGAUAAAUCGUUUAGAGUAUAGUAUUGGCGAUGGCGGUGGUUUCAAAUUUACGUAUUUCUCUCUGAAAGCAAACAAUGUAAUUAUGAUACCUACUUGUUUGAUUUGAAUUGUUUACCUAAUUAUGACGCACAAAUGCAUUCUCAAGUUGAAACGAAAGUACGAGUAGGCAAUUAGAAAAUACAUAUUGGCUCUAUGUAAAUAGCGAAACAUUACAUACCGUUGCAGUCUUAGUAACAAUGUAUCUUUUUCUCGUUCUGCGAUAUCUUCGGAUGUCAUUUUGUCAGUUUUUAUUCUCGAUGUUGGUGAAAGUUAAAUGAAACACAUUUCGUUUGAAAUUUACUCACGUGUUUGGCUGCUUAUUCAGUAUUGAAUCGGUUUGAAAAUUAUUGUUCUACCAUGAGCACUCUUUAUCAUAAUUAGUGUGUGUAUAUCUCGUAGUAUAGGUAAUAAAAUUCCUAUUCGAGUAUUUUAUCAUUUCGAUAAACUUACCUUGACAAUGGGUUUACAGUUUUGUGGGUAGUUAACUAGUUAGAUAGGUAUACCUUUUUUCCCACUGCUCCCCUCACUUUCCGUUUUAUUUAUUUAUUCGUUCAUUGAUUUGGAUUAUACUGAAUUGAAAUUUUACUUUUCGUUUUGUAAAUUAUGUUGAUGGAAGAAUUGAAAAAUGACAAUUUUUUGAAAAUACGUAUUCUUCAAAAUCGACGACAAAAAAAUAAAGUGAAAACAAUUGGUAAAAUGUUUUCAUUGAGAGAAUUUUGUGAAGUUCGUGUGAAUGAGAUUUUAAGGAAAUUGCACAUUUUAUUCAUACAAAUACUAGAAAUUCGAAGCAUUUUCUUUAGAGUUGGAAAUUUGUUGAGUAAAAAUGAAGAAAUAAUUUAUUGAAAAUUAUUGAAGUGAAAUAUAAAAAAUAAAACAACUUAGUUUCAUAAAAUUACUUCACUACAAAUUAAAUAGGUAACUUUGUACAUUGGAUUGGAAGUAUGAAUUAUUAUUUUUUUAAAAUGAAAGUAUAAAAAAAUUUAUCAUAGUGUUGAAUUACAAAAAAAUUCUAGUACCUACUUGAUUGACUAGACUAUUCUUAAGUACCUACACUGUAAAAAAAAAAAAAAAAAAAAAUACUUGAACAGAAGGAUAACUCCUCAUUAGGUAUUA